GGAAGCAUGGCUCAACAGUAGAGCACCUGCUUAGCAAGCACAAGGCUCUGAGUUCAAACCCCCGUACUUCCA
rnacentral:tRNA from 1 species